rnacentral:rRNA from 1 species
CUACGGGUGGCUGCAGUGAGGAAUAUUGGUCAAUGGGCGAGAGCCUGAACCAGCCAUGCCGCGUGAAGGAUGACUGCCCUAUGGGUUGUAAACUUCUUUUCUAUAGGGAUAAAAAGCGGAACGUGUUCUGCCUUGCAGGUACUAUAGGAAUAAGCACCGGCUAACUCCGUGCCAGCAGCCGCGGUAAUACGGAGGGUGCGAGCGUUAUCCGGAUUUAUUGGGUUUAAAGGGUGCGUAGGCGGUCUUAUAAGUCAGUGGUGAAAUUCUGUGACUCAACCAUAGAAGUGCCAUUGAAACUGUAGGACUAGAAUUUAUUUGAGGUAUGCGGAAUGUGUAAUGUAGCGGUGAAAUGCUUAGAUAUUACACAGAACACCGAUUGCGAAGGCAGCAUACUAAGAUACGAUUGACGCUGAUGCACGAAAGCGUGGGUAGCGAACAGGAUUAGAUACCCGUGUAGUC